UACGGAGGGAGCUAGCGUUGUUCGGAAUUACUGGGCGUAAAGCGCACGUAGGCGGCUUCUUAAGUCAGGGGUGAAAUCCCGGGGCUCAACCCCGGAACUGCCCUUGAAACUGGAGAGCUAGAAUCUUGGAGAGGCGAGUGGAAUUCCGAGUGUAGAGGUGAAAUUCGUAGAUAUUCGGAAGAACACCAGUGGCGAAGGCGACUCGCUGGACAAGUAUUGACGCUGAGGUGCGAAAGCGUGGGGAGCAAACAGGG
rnacentral:rRNA from 1 species